ACAGCAGCCGCCACGGGAAUACGAAGGGGGCUAGCGUUGUUCGGAAUUACUGGGCGUAAAGCGCACGUAGGCGGAUAUUUAAGUCAGGGGUGAAAUCCCAGAGCUCAACUCUGGAACUGCCUUUGAUACUGGGUAUCUUGAGUAUGGAAGAGGUGAGUGGAAUUCCGAGUGUAGAGGUGAAAUUCGUAGAUAUUCGGAGGAACGCCAGUGGCGAAGGCGGCUCACUGGUCCGUUACUGACGCUGAGGUGCGAAAGCGUGGGGAGCAAACAGGAUUAGAUACCCGUGUAGUCCCUGUCUCUUAUAC
rnacentral:rRNA from 1 species